rnacentral:rRNA from 1 species
UGGGGAAUCUUGGACAAUGGGGGCAACCCUGAUCCAGCGAUGCCGCGUGAGUGAAGAAGGCCCUCGGGUCGUAAAGCUCUUUAGGCUGGGAAGAAGGUUAGUAGAGGAAAUGCUAUUAAUUUGACUGUACCAGCAGAAUAAGCACCGGCAAACUCUGUGCCAGCAGCCGCGGUAAUACAGAGGGUGCGAGCGUUGAUCGGAAUUACUGGGCGUAAAGGGCGCGUAGGCGGUUAUAUGAGUGUGCUGUGAAAGCCCCGGGCUUAACCUGGGAAGUGCAGUGCAAACGAUGUAACUGGAGUAGAUGAGAGGGUGGUGGAAUUUCCGGUGUAGCGGUGAAAUGCGUAGAGAUCGGAAGGAACGUCAAUGGCGAAGGCAGCCACCUGGCAUCAUACUGACGCUGAGGCGCGAAAGCGUGGGGAGCGAACAG